rnacentral:rRNA from 1 species
GACGAACGCUGGCGGCGUGCUUAACACAUGCAAGUCGAACGGAAAGGCCCUGCUUUUGUGUGGUUCUCGAGUGGCGAACGGGUGAGUAACACGUGAGUAACCUGCCCUUGACUUUGGGAUAACUUCAGGAAACUGGGGCUAAUACCGGAUAGGAGCUCCUGCUGCAUGGUGGGGGUUGGAAAGUUUCGGCGGUUGGGGAUGGACUCGCGGCUUAUCAGCUUGUUGGUGGGGUAGUGGCUUACCAAGGCUUUGACGGGUAGCCGGCCUGAGAGGGUGAACGGCCACAUUGGGACUGAGAUACGGCCCAGACUCCUACGGGAGGCAGCAGUGGGGAAUAUUGCACAAUGGGCGGAAGCCUGAUGCAGCAACGCCGCGUGCGGGAUGACGGCCUUCGGGUUGUAAACCGCUUUCGCCUGUGACGAAGCGUGAGUGACGGUAAUGGGUAAAGAAGCACCGGCUAACUACGUG